rnacentral:sRNA from 1 species
UUUUAUUAUUUUUGUUAACCGAG